rnacentral:rRNA from 1 species
ACGCUGGCGGCAGGCCUAACACAUGCAAGUCGAGCGGUAGAGAGAAGCUUGCUUCUCUUGAGAGCGGCGGACGGGUGAGUAAUGCCUAGGAAUCUGCCUGGUAGUGGGGGAUAACGUCCGGAAACGGACGCUAAUACCGCAUACGUCCUACGGGAGAAAGCAGGGGACCUUCGGGCCUUGCGCUAUCAGAUGAGCCUAGGUCGGAUUAGCUAGUUGGUGGGGUAAUGGCUCACCAAGGCGACGAUCCGUAACUGGUCUGAGAGGAUGAUCAGUCACACUGGAACUGAGACACGGUCCAGACUCCUACGGGAGGCAGCAGUGGGGAAUAUUGGACAAUGGGCGAAAGCCUGAUCCAGCCAUGCCGCGUGUGUGAAGAAGGUCUUCGGAUUGUAAAGCACUUUAAGUUGGGAGGAAGGGCAGUAAAUUAAUACUUUGCUGUUUUGACGUUACCGACAGAAUAAGCACCGGCUAACUCUGUGCCAGCAGCCGCGGUAAUACAGAGGGGUGCAAGCGUUAAUCGGAAUUACUGGGCGUAAAGCGCGCGUAGGUGGUUCGUUAAGUUGGAUGUGAAAUCCCCGGGCUCACCUGGGAACUGCAUUCAAACUGACGAGCUAGAGUAUGGUAGAGGGUGGUGGAAUUUCCUGUGUAGCGGUGA